rnacentral:sRNA from 1 species
UGACUAUUGCUUCAUAUUCAGAGGACCCU